rnacentral:misc_RNA from 1 species
CCCAGGUGAUGUAUAGUUAGGACCAGGCUCUACACAUGGCCAAUAAUCACGAUUUGCUGGAGGCUUCCAUAGCUUGGAAUCCAAAUUCCCCCUAGCACCAUCCAACUUGUGAGAAGGAAGAGGUGGUUUGGACAAAUGGGGUGGAGUUUGCUCUCUGCUCCAGCUUUGUUCUUGCUCAAUGCCCAAUCUUGAGUAUUUAUUGACAUCAAGCUGAGUGGUAGUAGUGGGGAGCUUGUACGGAUCAGGUAAGUCAGGAGCUCUGGAGGAAGAGAAUACCUGCACAUGUACAGAGAGCAAAGCCGUCAUCGUUAUUACGCAUAUAGCACACGUUAGAAACUUCCGCAAAACCAGCACCGCCCUCCAUCUCCGCUUCCGCAUCUUUUUCACUUUCCGGCUUCUCUCAAACCAAGACACUAUAAAACACUACGAAAUGGGAGGUAGCCAUCCAAGAUAAAAGCCG